rnacentral:rRNA from 1 species
GAAGUUUUCGGACGGAAGCGGAUGCGACUUAGCGGCGGACGGGUGAGUAACGCGUGGGUAACCUGCCUCAUACAGGGGGAUAACAGUUAGAAAUGACUGCUAAUACCGCAUAAGCGCACAGGACCGCAUGGUCUGGUGUGAAAAACUCCGGUGGUAUGAGAUGGACCCGCGUCUGAUUAGCUGGUUGGUGGGGUAACGGCCCACCAAGGCGACGAUCAGUAGCCGACCUGAGAGGGUGGCCGGCCACAUUGGGACUGAGACACGGCCCAAACUCCUACGGGAGGCAGCAGUGGGGAAUAUUGCACAAUGGGGGAAACCCUGAUGCAGCAACGCCGCGUGAGUGAAGAAGUAUUUCGGUAUGUAAAGCUCUAUCAGCAGGGAAGAAGAAAGACGGUACCUGACUAAGAAGCCCCGGCUAACUACGUGCCAGCAGCCGCGGUAAUACGUAGGGGGCAAGCGUUAUCCGGAUUUACUGGGUGUAAAGGGAGCGUAGACGGCAUAGCAAGUCUGAAGUGAAAGCCCGUGGCUCAACCGCGGAACUGCUUUGGAAACUGUUAAGCUGGAGUACUGGAGAGGCAAGCGGAAUUCCUAGUGUAGCGGUGAAAUGCGUAGAUAUUAGGAGGAACACCAGUGGCGAAGGCGGCUUGCUGGACAGAGACUGACGUUGAGGCUCGAAAGCGUGGGGAGCAAACAGGAUUAGAUACCCUGGUAGUCCACGCGGUAAACGAUGAAUGCUAGGUGUUGGCGGGCAAAG